GGCCCCCGGGGUCCCCCCUCUCCGGAUGUGGCGACUCCGCCCUGGCCGGGUCCGUCGCCUAGGCCUGGUGCCCUCUGCGGGGGACGCUCUCUGGAAACGUCCGUCGUGUUCCCCGAGUAGGGUGCCGACCGGUGGCUCGAAGGCGGCGGAGACGGUCCCGUGCGCUUCAGCCACGGUGCCUUUUUCAUUUUUAGCCUCCUGGCCGUGGAACGGGCCAAGGACGCCGGGACGUUCCUGAUCCUGGCCACCACCGGACACUACUCCCGUCUUCCCCCUGCUCUUCACCGCGCCAGAGCUUCCUCUUAAAAUCCUGCUCAUGCUGCUGUUCACCGUCUACAGCGUCUCCUCGCUCACAGCUCUGUUCAGGAAGGAGCGACCUCUUCUCGGGCAGAUGGAAACCCUGUACCUGGUGGCCUGGGGCUUCUGGGCGUGUGCUGCGAGCUGGUGUUCCCCCUCAGCCCCUGGGCGUCCGCCUUCCCCUUCGCCCUGCUCCUCACCUCCGCCUACUGCGCCUGGGCGUCGCCUACGCCUGGGGCAGGCUGUUACCUGUCCGUGCUGACCGGACCCAGGGCGGCAGGCCCAAGAGAGCCUGAGGGGCCCGGCCCCGCCGCGGACGGAGGCCGACUCGGCCGCAGACACGUCCGCGCUCGGCCCGGUCGUCCCGGGGGCGACCCCUCGCCCCCUCUCCAACUGUGAAACCUCCCAGUCUUCCGCGCCUUCGACGUCCGACACCCCCCCCCCCCCCCCGGGGGUGCUGUCCGGUGGGGGCCGAGGGGCCUGACUCGAGUAGCCGGGGAAAGGUAUUAAUAAAAGGUCUGUUUUUUACGCCUCCUUGGAAGGUUUGCUGGGCCCUCUCCCCGCGUCUCCGCCCCGGGCCGGACCCCGGCCUGCGUUCCCGCACUCGCAGGGGGUCAGGCGCUGUCGCGCUCUAGCCCCCCGGGAGGGAUCGGGGGGCACCUGUCGUGGUUGCGUCCCGCCCCCCCCCCCCCCCCCCCCCCCCCCCCCCCCGCCGUUCCGGAAGAUCAGGGAGAGCCGGGGCCGCGCUGCCGUCGGUGCCAUAAUAAUAACGUUGGCAUUGGUUAAGCCACGUGGAAGCAGCGUGGCUCAGUGGAAAGAGCGCGGGCUUUGGAGUCAGGGCUCAUGAGUUGGAAUCGCAGCUCUGCCACUUGUCGGCUGUGUGACUGUGGGCGAGUCACUUCACUUCGCUGUGCCUCAGUUCCCUCACCUGUAAAAUGGGGAUGAAGACCGUGAGCCCCACGUGGGACAACCCGAUUCCCCUGUGUCUACCCCAGCGCUUAGAACAGUGCUCGGCACAUAGUAAGCGCUGAACAAAUACCAACAUUAUUAUUAUUAUUAUUAUUAAGCGCUUCCUAUGUAUCGCUGUAUAUUACCUUGCAUCUUCCCUAGUGCUUAGAACAGUGCUUGGCCCAUAGUAAACGUCCCCCGCUUCUAGACGGUGAGCCCGUUGUCGGGCAGGGGUUUCUCUCUUUCCAAGUGCUCAGUACGGCGCUCCGCACGCAGUAAGCGCUCAGUAAAUACGACCGAAUGUGCCUCAGUUCCCCUGUCCGUAAAAUGGGGGUGAAGACGAGCCCCCCCGGCGACCCUGCGCUAAGAACAGUGCUGGGCACAUAGUCUGUCUUGAUUCUAUUUAUCGCCAUCGUUCUUGUCUGUCCCUCUCCCCCGAUUAGACUGUAAGUCCGUCAAAGGGCAGGGACGGUCUCUAUCUGUUACCGAUCUGUCCAG
rnacentral:lncRNA from 1 species